AGAGUUUGAUCAUGGCUCAGGAUGAACGCUAGCGGCAGGCUUAACACAUGCAAGUCGAGGGGUAUUGUUCUUCGGAAUGAGAGACCGGCGCACGGGUGCGUAACGCGUAUGCAAUCUACCUUUCACAGAGGGAUAGCCCAGAGAAAUUUGGAUUAAUACCUCAUAGCAUAAUGAGUUGGCAUCAACACAUUAUUAAAGUCACAACGGUGAAAGAUGAGCAUGCGUCCCAUUAGCUAGUUGGUAAGGUAACGGCUUACCAAGGCUACGAUGGGUAGGGGUCCUGAGAGGGAGAUCCCCCACACUGGUACUGAGACACGGACCAGACUCCUACGGGAGGCAGCAGUGAGGAAUAUUGGUCAAUGGGCGCAAGCCUGAACCAGCCAUGCCGCGUGCAGGAUGACGGUCCUAUGGAUUGUAAACUGCUUUUGUACGGGAAGAAACACUCCGACGUGUCGGAGCUUGACGGUACCGUAAGAAUAAGGAUCGGCUAACUCCGUGCCAGCAGCCGCGGUAAUACGGAGGGUGCAAGCGUUAUCCGGAAUCAUUGGGUUUAAAGGGUCCGUAGGCGGUUUAGUAAGUCAGUGGUGAAAGCCCAUCGCUCAACGGUGGAACGGCCAUUGAUACUGCUAGACUUGAAUUAUUGGGAAGUAACUAGAAUAUGUAGUGUAGCGGUGAAAUGCUUAGAGAUUACAUGGAAUACCAAUUGCGAAGGCAGGUUACUACCAAUGGAUUGACGCUGAUGGACGAAAGCGUGGGUAGCGAACAGGAUUAGAUACCCUAGUAGUCC
rnacentral:rRNA from 1 species